UUGGUCUUGUAUGUGUAUUUGCAGUCGAUGGCUUCUUUGUCGUGGGGCAAGUCGGUUACAAUCCAGGUGUUGUUGAGUUCGAGAGCCUCGAUUUCUGCUCUCAUUGCUUCUCACCAGCCAGGGUCUUUGAUGGCUUGUUGGUAUGUGUGUGGAUCAGUGGAGAGGGAGAUUGGAGCUGAAAA